rnacentral:rRNA from 1 species
UGCGUAGGUGGUCUUGUAAGCGUGGGGUGAAAGGCAGUGGCUUAACCAUUGUUAGCCUUGCGAACUGUGAGACUUGAGUGCAGGAGAGGAAAGUGGAAUUCCUAGUGUAGCGGUGAAAUGCGUAGAUAUUAGGAAGAACACCAGUGGCGAAGGCGACUUUCUGGACUGUAACUGACACUGAGGCACGAAAGCGUGGGGAGCAAACA